rnacentral:rRNA from 1 species
GACGAACGCUGGCGGCGUGCUUAACACAUGCAAGUCGAACGGGCCUGUCUUCUUUUUUGGGGGGUGGGUUGAGUGGCGAACGGGUGAGUAUCACGUGAGUAACCUGCCCUUCGGUCCUGGAUAACCGCUUGAAAGGGCGGCUAAUACGGGGUGGUCCGGUUGGUCCGCAUGGGCUGGUCGGGAUAGAUUCACUGUUUUUGGUGUUUCGGCGGGGGAUGGGCUCGCGGCCUAUCAGCUUGUUGGUGGGGUGAUGGCCUACCAAGGCGGUGACGGGUAGCCGGCCUGAGAGGGUGGGCGGCCACACUGGGACUGAGAUACGGCGCAGACUCCUGCGGGAGGCAGCAGUGGGGGGUAUUGCACAAUGGGCGGAAGCCUGAUGCAGCGACGUCGCGUGAGGGAUGGAGGCCUUCGGGUUGUGAACCUCUGUUUCCGGUGGUGAAGGCCCUGUCCGUGUGGUGGGGUUGACGGUAGCCGGGGAUGAAGCGCCGGCUAACUACGUG